GUGCCUCUAACCUGGCUGCUGAGGUAUUUGAGUUCCACCUGACACAUAGGAGGGAGGGGGUUUCUGCCUGGAGGGGUGAGUCCACUCUACCCUGGAUUCAGAAGUUAAGGAGCUUCCCCUGACCCCCAGGGUGGAGGGGUCUCCCGCCUAGAGGGGUGACUUCCCUCUACCCUGGCUGAGAGGGUGUACCAGGUUUCCCAGACACCCACAUGGGAGGGGUCUCCUGCUUGGAGGGGCGAGCCCCCUCUAUUCUAGCUGUUGUGGUAUA
rnacentral:lncRNA from 1 species